rnacentral:sRNA from 1 species
UGAUGGCCGCUUUCUUGCACUCUGGAC